GAUGAACGCUGGCGGCGUGCCUAAUACAUGCAAGUCGAGCGAAUGGAUUAAGAGCUUGCUCUUAUGAAGUUAGCGGCGGACGGGUGAGUAACACGUGGGUAACCUGCCCAUAAGACUGGGAUAACACCGGGAAACCGGGGCUAAUACCGGAUAACAUUUUGAACCGCAUGGUUCGAAAUUGAAAGGCGGCUUCGGCUGUCACUUAUGGAUGGACACGCGUCGCAUUAGCUAGUUGGUGAGGUAACGGCUCACCAAGGCAACGAUGCGUAGCCGACCUGAGAGGGUGGUCGGCCACACUGGGACUGAGACACGGCCCAGACUCCUACGGGAGGCAGCAGUAGGGAAUCCUCCGCAAUGGACGAAAGUCUGACGGAGCAACGCCGCGUGAGUGAUGAAGGCUUUCGGGUCGUAAAACUCUGUUGUUAGGGAAGAACAAGUGCUAGUUGAAUAAGCUGGCACCUUGACGGUACCUAACCAGAAAGCCACGGCUAACUACGUGCCAGCAGCCGCGGUAA
rnacentral:rRNA from 1 species